GUGGUUUAGGUAAAUCCGGACCGCUACUAACGCUGAGAUACGAUGUCGAGCUACUACGGUAGUGAAGUCAUUGAUGCCAUGCUUCCAGGAAAAGCCUCUAAGCUUCAGAUUGUAAGGAAUCGUACCCCAAACCGACACAGGUGGUCGGGUAGAGAAUACCAAGGCGCUUGAGAGAACUCGGGUGAAGGAACUAGGCAAAAUGGUACCGUAACUUCGGGAGAAGGUACGCUCUUAUCAGUGAAGUCCCUUGCGGAUGGAGCAGACGAGAGUCGCAGAUACCAGGUGGCUGCAACUGUUUAUUAAAAACACAGCACUGUGCAAAAUCGUAAGAUGACGUAUACGGUGUGACGCCUGCCCGGUGCCGGAAGGUUAAUUGAUGGGGUUAGACUUCGGUCGAAGCUCUUGAUCGAAGCCCCGGUAAACGGCGGCCGUAACUAUAACGGUCCUAAGGUAGCGAAAUUCCUUGUCGGGUAAGUUCCGACCUGCACGAAUGGCGUAAUGAUGGCCACGCUGUCUCCACCCGAGACUCAGUGAAAUUGAAAUCGCUGUGAAGAUGCAGUGUACCCGCGGCUAGACGGAAAGACCCCGUGAACCUUUACUACAGCUUGGCACUGAACAUUGAACCUACAUGUGUAGGAUAGGUGGGAGACUUUGAAACCGCGUCGCUAGAUGUGGUGGAGUCGUCCUUGAAAUACCACCCUUGUAGUUUUGAUGUUCUAACGUUGGUCCCUGAAUCGGGAUUACGGACAGUGCCUGGUGGGUAGUUUGACUGGGGCGGUCUCCUCCCAAAGAGUAACGGAGGAGCACGAAGGUGGGCUAAACACGGUUGGACAUCGUGUGGUUAGUGCAAUGGCAUAAGCCCGCUUGACUGCGAGAAUGACAAUUCGAGCAGGUGCGAAAGCAGGUCAUAGUGAUCCGGUGGUUCUGAAUGGAAGGGCCAUCGCUCAACGGAUAAAAGGUACUCCGGGGAUAACAGGCUGAUACCGCCCAAGAGUUCAUAUCGACGGCGGUGUUUGGCACCUCGAUGUCGGCUCAUCACAUCCUGGGGCUGAAGUCGGUCCCAAGGGUAUGGCUGUUCGCCAUUUAAAGUGGUACGCGAGCUGGGUUUAGAACGUCGUGAGACAGUUCGGUCCCUAUCUGCCGUGGGCGUUGGAAAAUUGAAAGGGGCUGCUCCUAGUACGAGAGGACCGGAGUGGACGAACCUCUGGUGUUCGGGUUGUCAUGCCAAUGGCAUUGCCCGGUAGCUAAGUUCGGAAUCGAUAACCGCUGAAAGCAUCUAAGCGGGAAGCGAGCCUUGAGAUGAGUUUUCCCUGGCGCUAUAAGCGUCCUAAAGGGUUGUCGUAGACUACGACGUUGAUAGGCAGGGUGUGUAAGUGCUGCGAGGCAUUGAGCUAACCUGUACUAAUUGCCCGUGAGGCUUAACC
rnacentral:rRNA from 1 species